rnacentral:rRNA from 1 species
AGCAGUCGCCACGGUAAAACGUAGGUGGCAAGCGUUGUCCGGAAUUAUUGGGCGUAAAGCGCGCGCAGGCGGAUCAGUUAGUCUGUCUUAAAAGUUCGGGGCUUAACCCCGUGAGGGGAUGGAAACUGCUGAUCUAGAGUAUCGGAGAGGAAAGUGGAAUUCCUAGUGUAGCGGUGAAAUGCGUAGAUAUUAGGAAGAACACCAGUGGCGAAAGCGACUUUCUGGACGAAAACUGACGCUGAGGCGCGAAAGCCAGGGGAGCGAACGGGAUUAGAUACCCGUGUAGUCCCUGUCUCUUAUACA